UACGUAGGGUGCAAGCGUUGUCCGGAAUUAUUGGGCGUAAAGAGCUCGUAGGCGGUUUGUUGCGUCGGCUGUGAAAUCCCGAGGCUCAACCUCGGGUCUGCAGUCGAUACGAGCAAACUAGAGUGUUGCAGGGGAGACUGGAAUUCCUGGUGUAGCGGUGAAAUGCGUAGAUAUCGGGAGGAACACCAGUGGCGAAGGCGACUUCCUGGCCUGUUCUUGACGCUGAGGCGCGAAAGCUAGGGGAGCAAACGGG
rnacentral:rRNA from 1 species